rnacentral:rRNA from 1 species
GACGAACGCUGGCGGCGUGCUUAACACAUGCAAGUCGAACGGAAAGGCCCUGCUUUUGUGGGGUGCUCGAGUGGCGAACGGGUGAGUAACACGUGAGUAACCUGCCCUUGACUUUGGGAUAACUUCAGGAAACUGGGGCUAAUACCGGAUAGGAGCUCCUGCUGCAUGGUGGGGGUUGGAAAGUUUCGGCGGUUGGGGAUGGACUCGCGGCUUAUCAGCUUGUUGGUGGGGUAGUGGCUUACCAAGGCUUUGACGGGUAGCCGGCCUGAGAGGGUGACCGGCCACAUUGGGACUGAGAUACGGCCCAGACUCCUACGGGAGGCAGCAGUGGGGAAUAUUGCACAAUGGGCGGAAGCCUGAUGCAGCAACGCCGCGUGCGGGAUGACGGCCUUCGGGUUGUAAACCGCUUUCGCCUGUGACGAAGCGUGAGUGACGGUAAUGGGUAAAGAAGCACCGGCUAACUACGUGCCAGCAGCCGCGGUGAUACGUAAGGUGCGAGCGUUGUCCGGAUUUAUUGGGCGUAAAGGGCUCGUAGGUGGUUGAUCGCGUCGGAAGUGUAAUCUUGGGGCUUAACCCUGAGCGUGCUUUCGAUACGGGUUGACUUGAGGAAGGUAGGGGAGAAUGGAAUUCCUGGUGGAGCGGUGGAAUGCGCAGAUAUCAGGAGGAACACCAGUGGCGAAGGCGGUUCUCUGGGCCUUUCCUGACGCUGAGGAGCGAAAGCGUGGGGAGCGAACAGGCUUAGAUACCCUGGUAGUCCACGCUGUAAACGGUGGGUACUAGGUGUGGGGUCCAUUCCACGGGUUCCGUGCCGUAGCUAACGCUUUAAGUACCCCGCCUGGGGAGUACGGCCGCAAGGCUAAAACUCAAAGGAAUUGACGGGGCCCCGCACAAGCGGCGGAGCAUGCGGAUUAAUUCGAUGCAACGCGUAGAACCUUACCUGGGUUUGACAUGGAUCGGGAGCGCUCAGAGAUGGGUGUGCCUCUUUUGGGGUCGGUUCACAGGUGGUGCAUGGCUGUCGUCAGCUCGUGUCGUGAGAUGUUGGGUUAAGUCCCGCAACGAGCGCAACCCUUGUUCACUGUUGCCAGCACGUUAUGGUGGGGACUCAGUGGAGACCGCCGGGGUCAACUCGGAGGAAGGUGGGGAUGACGUCAAGUCAUCAUGCCCCUUAUGUCCAGGGCUUCACGCAUGCUACAAUGGCUGGUACAGAGAGUGGCGAGCCUGUGAGGGUGAGCGAAUCUCGGAAAGCCGGUCUCAGUUCGGAUUGGGGUCUGCAACUCGACCUCAUGAAGUCGGAGUCGCUAGUAAUCGCAGAUCAGCAACGCUGCGGUGAAUACGUUCCCGGG